CAGCCGCCGCGGGAAUACGUAGGUGGCAAGCGUUGUCCGGAAUUAUUGGGCGUAAAGGGCUCGUAGGCGGUUUCUUAAGUCUGAUGUGAAAACCCCCGGCUCAACCGGGGAGGGUCAUUGGAAACUGGGAAACUUGAGUGCAGAAGAGGAGAGUGGAAUUCCACGUGUAGCGGUGAAAUGCGUAGAGAUGUGGAGGAACACCAGUGGCGAAGGCGACUCUCUGGUCUGUAACUGACGCUGAGGAGCGAAAGCGUGGGGAGCGAACAGGAUUAGAUACCCCGGUAGUCCCUGUCUCUUAUAA
rnacentral:rRNA from 1 species